AGUGAACGCUGGCGGUAGGCCUAACACAUGCAAGUCGAACGGCAGCACAGUAAGAGCUUGCUCUUACGGGUGGCGAGUGGCGGACGGGUGAGGAAUACAUCGGAAUCUACUUUUUCGUGGGGGAUAACGUAGGGAAACUUACGCUAAUACCGCAUAUGACCUACGGGUGAAAGCAGGGGAUCUUCGGACCUUGCGCGAUUGAAUGAGCCGAUGUCGGAUUAGCUAGUUGGCGGGGUAAAGGCCCACCAAGGCGACGAUCCGUAGCUGGUCUGAGAGGAUGAUCAGCCACACUGGAACUGAGACACGGUCCAGACUCCUACGGGAGGCAGCAGUGGGGAAUAUUGGACAAAGGGCGCAAGCCUGAUCCAGCCAUACCGCGUGGGUGAAGAAGGCCUUCGGGUUGUAAAGCCCUUUUGUUGGGAAAGAAAAGCAGCAGGUUAAUACCCCGCUGUUCUGACGGUACCCAAAGAAUAAGCACCGGCUAACUUCGUG
rnacentral:rRNA from 1 species